rnacentral:hammerhead_ribozyme from 1 species
GCACUUCUGAAGAGUCCCACAAUUGGACGAAACGGCCGUCCAAUGC